CCCUGAAAGGUCAGAAGGCCGUCUUAUUCUCAAUAUGCAUUUUAUUUUAUUACCCAAUCUGCUCCUGACAUAAAAUAAAUCUCCAAAAAUUAAAUUCUGGCCCUCAAACCCCACAGCAGGACUUAAUUAACCUCACCUUCAAGGUGUACAAUAAUAGAGUAGAGGCAGCCAAGUAGCAACAUAUUUCUGAGUUGCAAUUCCUUGCCUCCACUAUGAGACAAACCUCAGCCAAUCUCCUGCACACAAGAACUCCAAACACCUGAACCGCAGCUGCCAGGGGUUCCGCCAGAACCUCCUCCCCCAGGAGCUUGUUACAAGUGCCAGAAAUCUGGCCACUGGGCCAAGGAAUGCCCACAGCCCGGGAUUCCUCCUAAGUCAUAUCCCAUCUGUGUGGGACCCCACUGAAAAUUGGACUGUUCAACUCACCUGGCAGCCACUCCCAGAACCCCUGGAACUCUGGCCCAAGGCUCUCUGACUGACUCCUUCCCAGAUCUUCUCGGCUUAGCAGCUGAAGACUGACGCUGCCCAAUCGCCUCGGAAGCCUACAGGAUCAUCACAGACGCUCUGGGUAACUCUCACAGUGGAGGAGCCCUGCAAGAAUCCAAGUAAAUAAAGCUAAACCUUCACUACUGAAAACCAGCUUCUAGGUAACUCAUGUAUCAUACACCUUAUAUCCUUGCAUGGAUUCCCCAAAUCUAGUCUCUGAGGCCCUCAGUGUAUUGGAUGAUACCUGCCAAUACUGGGCUGCUGUAGUAUCCUAGGGGUCUACUCCAGUCCCUGGUUACCUCGAAUUUUCCAGUCCCUGGAUGUCUCACCAGUGAAGGUUGUGAAACAGCAAAAAUGGCAGCCUGCACCCUCCUCUGGGAGCUCCAUCCCAAGAAGAUGUUGGCACUUCUUAGGAAGGAGCCAUCCAUGUCUGAAGAGAAGAAAUGAUAAUUAACUUCAUCAUGUGGAAAGCUUUAGAAGGAAGUAUCUUGUCCUUCUGUCCAAACCCGCCUCCUCCUUACCACCCCCAAUAAAAAUAAAAGCCAAACAAAUAAAACAUUAGCAGUAGCUCUGAGUUUCUUCCUUUCACUUUUUCUCUCUCUUCAUGCCUUUUCUCCUCCAUUCCUUCCUUCUUUCAAAUCAUUUUUACUAGUUUAAGAGAAUAAUUCAAUCUAUAUUUAGAAAUCAGACUUAAAACUUCAAAAAUUAUACUGAAAUAGCUUCCCCUUAAAGGGUGAAACAGUCAUGAUAAAAAUAACAACCGAUAGAAUAAAAUAAUAUAAAAUUAGCUGAGUUUAUAGUUUCUUUUACACCUCCAUAAUUUAUGUGGAUUUGGAAAUACAGACAGUAUACUGAAAACUAAGAAGUUUUCUAUGAAUUAUGAGAAUUUGCAAUCCACAUAGGCUUAAGUCUAAUGUUAGAAGAUAAAACAAAUUGACCUUAAAUAACUUUCUGACAUAACCUCCCCAUUUCAUGGAUGAAAAACCCUAAAGCUCUCAUAAGUAAAGUGAUUUACUUCAGGACACAAACUAGUUGAUUUAGUUUGGAUGUUUGUCCCCUCCAAAUCUCAUGUUGAAAUGGAAUCCCCAGUGUUGGAGGUGGGGCCUGGUGGGAGGUGUUUGUGUCAUGGGGCAGAUCCAUUAUCCUUAUGAGCUGCUUGGUGCUAUCCUUGUGAUAGUGAGUGAGUUCUCAUGAAAUCUGGUUGUUUAAAAAUUUGUGGCACCUCCCCACCAGCCUUGCUCCUGCUCUUGCGGUGUGAUAUGCCUGCUGCCUCUUCACCUUACACCGUGAUUAUAAGCUUCCUGAGGCCUCACCAGAAGCAGUU
rnacentral:lncRNA from 10 species